rnacentral:misc_RNA from 1 species
GAUGAAGAACGUAGCGAAUUGCGAUAAGUAAUGUGAAUUGCAGAAUUCAGUGAAUCGUCGAAUCUUUGAACGCAUCUUGCGCUCUUUGGUAUUCCGAAGAGCAUGCCUGUUUGAGUGUCAUGAAACUCUCACCUCCAAUCUUUUUUAACUAGAAGGUUGGGGCGUGGACGUGAGUGCUGCUGGUGCCCUGGUUGCAUCGGCUCACUUGAAAUUCAUUAGCUGAAUCCUUUAAAGUAGGUUCUACUCGACGUGAUAAGAUCUCCGUCGAGGACAGUGCUUCGGCAUUGGCCAACGAUAAAGUUGAUACGCUUCUAAUUAGCGCAGACUUCGAGUGCUGGCAAUUUUGACAACUUGGCCUCAAAUCAGGUAGGACUACCCACUGAACUUAAGCAUAUCAAUAAGCGGAGGA